GUCCACGCCCUAAACGAUGGGUACUAGGCGUCGGGGGAGCGACCCUCCCGGUGCCGUCGCUAACGCAGUAAGUACCCCGCCUGGGGAGUACGGCCGCAAGGCUGAAACUCAAAGGAAUUGACGGGGGCCCGCACAAGCGGUGGAGCAUGUGGUUCAAUUCGAUGCAACGCGAAGAACCUUACCUGGGCUUGACAUGCUGGUGACAGCCGGUGGAAACAUCGGCCCCUCUUCGGAGCGCCAGCACAGGUGCUGCAUGGCUGUCGU
rnacentral:rRNA from 1 species